GUAGCUCAGUUGGUUAGAGCACCGCACUCAUAAUGCGGGGGUCACAAGUUCAAGUCUCGUC
rnacentral:tRNA from 1 species